rnacentral:misc_RNA from 1 species
GAUGAAGAACGUAGCGAAAUGCGAUAAGUAAUGUGAAUUGCAGAAUUCAGUGAAUCAUCGAAUCUUUGAACGCACCUUGCGCCCGCCAGUAUUCUGGCGGGCAUGCCUGUUCGAGCGUCAUUUCAACCAUCAAGCCCCGGGCUUGUGUUGGGGAUCUGCGGCUGCCCGCAGGCCCUGAAAACCAGUGGCGGGCUCGCUGUCACUCCGAGCGUAGUACCACUCGUAUCUCGCUCAGGGCGUGCCGCGGGCUCCGGCCGUUAAACCGCCUCUUUAGCACCCAAAGGUUGACCUCGGAUCAGGUAGGAGGACCCGCUGAACUUAAGCAUAUCAAUAAGCGGAGGA